CAAAAGGAUUGGUGGACCAAGACUUCACUCUCCUAUUUGAUGACGACAUAUCCUCCAUGCUGCUUCAGAAAUGGGAUUUGUUCUUCAAGCCAAAUGUCAUAAAAGAGGCUAAGCAGCUCACCUCAACACCAGAGCUACGUCGCUUGGUGCAGUCAGCAGAAAGUCCCCCAGGAAGUGAUCUUGAUGAGGCAACAACCUAUGACCAAGAUAUGGCUUCCCUGGUGUUGCUGUUACAUCUCCUUCCACCACCUCCAGAGGGACGGAAGUCUCCAAAAAUGUGUGCAUGCGAUGCAGUUGAGAGACUUGUUGUCUUUCAUAAGUUUGGAGGAUCAUCUCCGAAACCAGCCGGGUCGGCAGCCGUACCUCCU